rfam:Mycobacterium sp. 852013-51886_SCH5428379 contig_42, whole genome shotgun sequence.
UUGGCGGCCGGGUCGAUCUCGCGGGUGACGACGAGGUAGUUGCGCAGCGCGACGGCGUGCAGGUGCUC